CCUGCCGAGACAGAGAGCAUGGUUACCAGUCAGGGGACUCACGCACAGGGGGAGGACCCCACGUCCCAUCUUGCUGGGAGACGGCAGAAGGAAAACAGGACAUCAGGACAGGGUGAGGGAAGAGAAUCCGCCACAGACAGACUCCGCCUCACAGGCAGGGCAAGCACCUCAGGGUCGAACAGCAUCCGUCACCUCAACCACAGGGAAGCAGCUGCAUGCUGCGCCUGAAGGCCCUCAGGACCCCUGCAGACUUCACACCCUCGCCUUGACAAGAGGAGGCCUCUGCUGCUCUAGCAUCUCGACCCGUAGGUGCCCGGACCCCACUGGACUCAACACAAUCUCACAUGGCACUAGCUUACACUGCCCUUGGUUCCCAGGUUCCCAGGCCCUGAAGCCACCAAUCAUGCUCUUUUCAUCAGUCCUUUUCACCCAUCCAACUGCCAAGACCACAAGCUAGAGAAACAUCCUUAAUCUCACCCUCCCCACCACGGCCAGACCUCCUGCAGAUUUCCAUCGAUAGAACUAUCCUGAGUCCAUCCACCUCCCUCCCUUGCUCCUGCUGCCUCCCACCAGAAACAUGCCACAGCCCCUCCUUGGCUGGCCUGCCUCUGCUUGGGCCCCCCAUGUGGCAGCCAAGUGUCAGGCCAUGACACCGCCCUGCCCCUCUGCUCAGGCUCCCUACUCCUCACCUGAAUGACACCCCCAUUCCUUAGACCUCAGUUCCAACAAUAAUGUGUUCCAAGAGCACCCCCUAACCUCCAACUCUGGGUCCUCCAUUUCAGUCCCCCUGCCACUGGGUGCCUCCCCUUGAAGGCACUUCCCGGUUUGUCAUUGAAUGUGUGUUGUCACACCCCAGUGUCUGGCCUGCCCACUAGCAAAGCUAUAAGGAACAAACCUGGGGCUAGUAUCUCCCACCAGCCUGCAAACUGGAUCUCCUAACACAGGUGGGGCUGAGAAAGGCCUAUACUAAUGAGGGGGAGCAGCAUCCCUAUGUGGCAGGUCCCAGUGGUGGUGGUAGGGCAGAAUGCCAUCCCACCUCAGAGAGCAUGGGAGAGAGAUCACUCUCCACAAGAACAAGACAGGAACAGGGUGCCCAGGAGUGGAAGAUCCCUUGUGGUCAGAACCAAGAGACCUGGGCUCCAGUAAGCAAGGCUGGUGCCAACGCACCCAUUACCACAGGGCUUCAGUGAGCCCAUCACUCACCUCCGGCUGCUGCGAGCACCAUGCGAGGGGCCUUGUAAUGCCUGCUGACAUACUCGGUCAGGUCUGCACGAGAUAGCUUCCUGCAAGACAUAUGGCCAAUGGCUUAAUGCCUCUCCCAAACCACAGCAGUCUGGGUCUCACAAAACAGUGCCGAGGAGAUAGACAAGGGAAGACAUGGCUUCUCCGGGGAGCAAGCCCUAGCACAGCCCUCAAUCCCCUUUCUCAUCUCUGCCGACCAGUCCUCUGGGGCCCCGCUUCACGUCUGCCUUUAGGUCAGGCUCAGUCCUUCCUCUCUGAGGAGGGGGUGAGCUGAUGCUGUGAGGUUCUCAAGGGGCGGUAUCAGUGCGUAUCCCACCCGGGAACAAGGAGCCACACAGAUUCCCAACGCUCCCUCCCUCAGGAUUUCAGGACACGCACAGAAUCAUACCCUACAAAGAAGCCCGCAAUGUGAGUGAAGACCGUACAGGUAUUUUAAAAGCCCUGCAAGGACCACAGGGCACAGAGAAAACAUUUCCAGUUGUGCAAAUUAAGAACGUAUAAUAGCAAAGGGCAACUAAAACCAAACUCGUGUGGACGGGGCUUGAACACAUUCCAGCACAGGCCCAGCCAACCCUCACCUGACAUUCCCACUGGGCCCCUCCACAGCCUGGGCUAGAGGUGUGCCCUGGAAUGCUGUGGCGUGCAGGUAGUCAAAGACCACGUCCCGCAUACAUGCAUCAUUCUCCUGCAGCUCCUGUAGGAUCACAUCACGCUCCUUCUCAAUCUGGGAGUCUUCUAGGGCACAGUUCUGCACAAUGUCGGCCAGGAGCUCCACAGCUGGACGUGAGAAGGGCAGGUUUGGGAACCAAAGGGCAGGUGGGGCCACUGCAGGCCAGUAACAGCACAAACCCCCCAGGCCUGGCAUGCCUGCAUGCCCUGCGGCAAGGAUCUGCUGUCAUGGUAACCCCACUCUUCAGCCAGGCCAAGUUCCUGGGGGCCUGUCCUCUGUACCCCUGAAGUCCUAUCCCCGUCCCUGCCCCAUCCUCCAGAUGUUACCUUUUGGCAGGUCCUUGGAUAGCGCCUUGAUGUAGUAUGCUGUGUGCUCCCGGGUGCUGUAGGCAUUGAGAUGGGCCCCCAUGCUCUCCACCUCCUUCUCCAAGGCAUUGCCAGGCCGAUUUUUUGUUCCCUGGAACCAGAUAUCAAGACGACCAUCAGGAGCCACAUGGAAACUGAGGACCCCUAUCUUCAAAGGCUAAAGUCCCAGCAGGACCAGUGGUCUACAGGCACCUUCCUCAUCAAAGACUAUGGGGAUGUACAGUCUACAGUCUGUCCUCACCAAGUGCCGAGCAGGCCACAGUAUCAUGGGCUAACAGAAUGGAGACAGCCAGGGGCCAGGAGAGAAGGGCACGGUCAGUGCAAGUGCUGCCUGAAAUCCAGAGCCCCAUAGCAGCCUGAUCUUACCAAUCACCUUACUGACAGUCAUAGCCAGAUUAUGUCACAUCAAUGUUUAGAUGACACUGCCAUUACCCACUCUACCCCCAUGCCAUUCAUAUGACUGUGUAUGUGCUAGUGGACACCUCUGUGGGACUCGACCCUCUGUGGGACCUCUGUGGGACCCUGUGGGACCCUCUGUGGGACCCACCCUGUGUGGGUGUUGCUGUCCACAGGCACACACACACGCAUGUUGAGAUCUACAUACACAUCUGUGAUGCUGCUGCUGGCUAAGCUACCUACCCGGUCCUGCUCCACACCCCUACUGAUCCAUAUCUCCUUCUCCAUUUUUUCAUUCAUUCAAAAAACUCCAGACUCCAUACCAACAUGGGCUGGCUUAGGGGCUGAGGGUAGUGACUGUCCCCACCUUCAAGAAAGCUCAGUAUUUACUUCUACAAACAAGAGAUGUCUGGAUAUUCUGCCAGAGCAGAACAUUUCACAAGAACACAUACUUGCCUGUGUCUGUGAAUUUGUUAAAACGCACGUUAUCUAUCUACGUGUUCGAUUCCACACCAGCGUGCGCACAUAACAAAGGCCUGGCCUCUCUGUGAGGAGUGGGGUUCCUGCAGCUCCCCGGGUUUUUUUCUGGCUCUAGGAGCCUUGUGCAGGGGCUGACCAGGUAAGUGCUCACUCAGGAGAGGCCAAGCCCUCAUGGUUCCUUCCAGAAAGGCCAGCCAGAGAUCGCCCCCCUAGCUGAAGCCCAUAAUUGAAGAGGUUGGCUUUGCUGACCUGCAUCCUCAGGAGGGACAAUAGGCAGUUGUAAGCCCAGGGGUGACGCAGGACUUCAGGAGCCUCACCUUGAAAGCCAGAUGCUCCAGAAAGUAACCUGCCCCGUUGUUCUUCUCAGUCUCGUAACGGCUGCCAACAUCAAUCCAUACCCCGACCUGGAUGAGAAGCCACCAACAAAGGUAACACACAAACCACCCCAGACUCCACUCACACCCUACUCUGGGUGACUCAGCAGAAGCCCCAGGACAGGGCUCAUGGUCCCAGAGUGGGGGAGAGCUGUCUCAGUAGGCCCCCUGUGCUUGGAGAUACAGCUAUGCCCUGGGCACAGGCACUGGCUGAAAAAGGACCUACUCCAAGGAAGUUUCUAACUGUGCACAUUCACUUGGCUCCAUUACCAAUAUGAACUUUUUAUAUUCUGUCUUGAUUUUCAGUUGAUUUUUUCAUUUUUUCUUUUUUUUUUUUUUU